GAAAAGAGAACAAGAGAAACAGAGGCUUGAAAAGCUUGCAGAAACUAGCCGAGUAAGUCGGUAUCGUCGCCGAAGCCGUAGCAGAAGUUACAGUCGUUCCCCUCGAAGGUACUAAUACUGAUCCUACUUGUUAUACUGUACUUGAUGUGUAGAUUGUUGAAUUUUUCAAAAGUGAGUAUUGUCUUGCAUAAGUUGAUGAUAUAGUGUUCCUUAAAGUACCUUUACCUUUUUUACUUGAUCUAGUUGUUUCUUUAUUUAAAAGGAUUUGUGAAUUUGUUGAUUAGAAAUUGAGCGAUGCCUGUCUACGAGAUGCAUGCUGGUGGAGCUAGAGGCCAUAAUUCCUGUCUACAAAGUCAAUUCGCCUAUUCACAUAGUAAACUUUUGUAUAAUUUUGAAACCUGCCAACCUUGUAGAGUCAUUGGUUUGAGGAAGUGUCUAAACGCUAUAUGAAUCAAAAUGGGUUGUGCCCACACUGACCUUUCAAGUAAUUGGUAACGUGGGUUGAAACAAGGUAAUCUAAUGGUCAAAGCAAAGCUUCUUUCAGUUAUUGGUUCUCUUAUUUGUGUUUUCAGCAAGCGCGUACGCACAGCUCUCUUCAGCCCUCGUCUUCAUCCGUAUUCAUUUUAGCUUUAGGUGAAACCAUAUUGAAAAUUUGUCUAUUGUUGCCUUAAUUCAUGGAAAUUCAAAGAGUCCGAGCCCAAGGCUGCUCCUUUGCCUUCAAUAUCAGAGAUUUGAGAGCCCUAACCUUCUCAACAAAAAAGGAAAUCCCAAACAAAUACCACCUCAAGUUUGUUCUUGAUGGAUUUUGUAAAAUGAGGGUUGUGUUUUUCUUUAUCUUUUGGGUACAUUAAGCUUUAAAUGGAGCUCGCUAAUUGGACUAGGAGUAAUGCAAUUGAAAAACUGGCCCUUGAUUUUGUGAUGUCAAGGAUGUGGGGGUGAUUAUUUCUUUUUUCUUUUCUUUUAGGGUUGAAAAGGGAGUUGGGAUUUUCUUUGCUUGAAUUUGUGUGUUAGUGGGUUUUUUAAAAUGCAUUUGUUGUUGUCUGACGUAGAAGUCACAUUAAAGCUCAUAACUAAGGCAAGAGAAAAUUAAAUGUAGAGAAACUUGGUCCUUUUAGACUGCUGAAGAUUAGGAAUUCUUAUAGUUAAAGAGGAAGAUUUAACUAUCUAAUCACUGAUCAAUCACUUGUUUUAUUUUUUGGAGAUCUCCUGAUGAACUUGUGGCUCACCUUAACAAUUUAUUGAGAGUUUUAAAUCCAGUUUAUUACUUAGUUGCUUAGCAAAAAGGGGACUUUUGUGUAAUAUUCUGCAUUUUCAUGUAUCUCUUGCGAUCCAAAUGAGAUAUACAUUUUUGAUACUCCCUUAAUUGAAAAGGGAAUUGUUGGUUCAGAGUACAAGGAUUAAAAUAGCUAGCUUUUGGUGUGAAAUGGCCAUCAAUUCCUUAUUCAUUUGGAAUAGAAUUUACUGAUUCAAGAACUACAUAAAAGGGAAUGAAAUUUUUAUAAUCAAAAGUAUAUAAAAUGUUGGAAAAAUAAUUCUUAGUGAAAGAAUAAAAAGUAUUUCUCCCCAAAAAACUAUAAUGUCAUGUAAACUGGGAAAGAGGAAUUGUCAAGGAAGUGGGAGAAAAGAGUUUGUCUUUGUUAAACAGAAAACAAGCGCAUAACUUGUCGAAAAAAGCUACAACAAGAAAAAAAUGUGAUUCAUUGAAGAAAUUCUAGAGAAUUUAUUCAACCUUGGACGCUUGGGCAUUAGUGGUAGAAACUAUAAAUGGCGUGGUGAGUGUUAGAUGUUCUUGCAGAUCAAAGUAUGCGGUCGUGUGAUUGUUGUGUGUUUGUUUGUUACAUUGUUCUGUAGUUUUUGUUGAUAGAUGGGCAUGGAUGUAGUGCCCUAAUUAUAACUCGAGUUCGGCGAGUUAAGUCAGGACCCGUCGCUAAUCUAUUUUGAACUAACCCACUUUGGUCCAAGCAAAAAUAUGGGUUUGUCAGGUAGAUCGGUUCAGUUAUUUAACCUGUUUAACCUUCCCAUUCAGUCAGAAAAGUUCUCUUCAAUCCGUGAAAGCCUUUGGUUCCUCUUUUGAAACAAGCCAUAUUACCGGUUGGAGGAUAUCUCGUAGUCUCUUAUACCUCAGUUUCCAGCAUUCAGGAAGCUUCUUGAAAAAUUGGGUAUUACCAACUAACCAACAUUAUUAGAAGAAAAUUCCACAAUUCCGUUGUAAUCAUGCGAUUCGUACACCUAUUAAGCAAAAGGUGCUCUUGUGCUUCCCCUCGAAAACCAUUAUCUGUUAUAUGUUAGUCUUUUUCUUUUUCAGGCAUCCAAACUGAACAAAUAUUUAGCAGUGUCAUCCAUUUUUUUAAUUUAAAAAACUUGGUUAACUUUCUCACGAUUUUACUCUGCAAAUUAUUAUCUUUCACUGUUAAUGUUUGAAAUUAUUAUAGGCACCGACUUAGCCGGAGUCCUAUCCGCGAAAGGAGUGCUCGCAGAUAUCAUUCACGUUCAAGGUCUCGCUCUCGGUCGCGGACUCGCUCUCAUUCACGC
rnacentral:lncRNA from 1 species